UACGAAGGGGGCUAGCGUUGCUCGGAAUGACUGGGCGUAAAGGGCGCGUAGGCGGUUUGUACAGUCAGAUGUGAAAUUCCUGGGCUCAACCUGGGGGCUGCAUUUGAUACGUAUGGACUGGAGUGAGGAAGAGGGUCGUGGAAUUCCCAGUGUAGAGGUGAAAUUCGUAGAUAUUGGGAAGAACACCGGUGGCGAAGGCGGCGACCUGGUCCUUUACUGGACGCUGAGGCGCGAAAGCGUGGGAGCAAACAGG
rnacentral:rRNA from 1 species